rnacentral:rRNA from 1 species
UACGUAAGGAGCAAGCGUUGUCCGGAUUUACUGGGCGUAAAGAGCUCGUAGGCGGCCGAUCAGGUCUCGCGUAAAAUCCCCCGGCUCAACCGUAGUAAGCCUUUGAAACUGGGAAACUUGAGUGCAGGAGAGGAGAGUGGAAUUCCUAGUGUAGCGGUGAAAUGCGUAGAUAUUAGGAGGAACACCAGUAGCGAAGGCGGCUCUCUGGACUGUAACUGACGCUGAGGCACGAAAGCGUGGGGAGCAAACAGGAUUAGAUACCCCCGUAGUCCCUGAG